rnacentral:lncRNA from 1 species
UUAAAUUUUUCUUGCUAUAAAAAUAAAUUUUCUUAAAGAAAAUUCACAAUCUUCAAAAGAAACAUACUACCAUGAAUGGAGUUUUAAGUCAAUCCAAACAGGCCUUACCAUCAUCAUGAACAACACCAAGAACCAAACAACUUAAGAUCAAAACUUUUGGAAUCAUACCCAGAAAAGAAAAUUCAAGAAGAUGACUUCUUAGGCAGUUGUUUUAUUUUGUUGUACUUGAAUGAUCUAAGAAAAGUUUAGUUUAACACAAGCAACUUUUAAAAGGAUUAAAGUUUUUUUUUUUAAAAAAAGAAUUAAAUAUACAUAAAAAUGAAAAUUCUCAUGUCCAAACAGGCAUCAAAAACUUCCCUUCCUGAAAAAAUAUAUAUAUAUCUAUUAAAUUUAUGAAGGUAAAACAAAAAAUAGAUAUAUAUGUGUAUAUAUGCUUUCACCCCCUCAAAUACCCUUUUCAAACAACCAAUUGACUUCUUUGUAUGCAAACCAGGUUCCUNNNN